GACGGGUGAGUAACACGUGGAUAAUCUACCUCUAGGAGCCGGAUAACUCGGGGAAACCUGGGCUAAUACGGCAUGAAGUCCGUAAGUCGCAUGGCUAACGGAUAAAAGGUGGCCUCUGCUUGCAAGCUGCCGCCUGGUGAUGAAUCCGCGUCCCAUUAGCUUGUUGGUUGGGUAACGGCCAACCAAGGCGAAGAUGGGUAGCCGGCCUGAGAGGGUGAACGGCCACACUGGGACUGAGACACGGCCCAGACUCCUACGGGAGGCAGCAGUUUAGAAAUUUGCGCAAUGGCCGAAAGGCUGACGCAGCGACGCCGCGUGGAGGAUGAAGGCUUUCGGGUUGUAAACUCCUGUUAGAGGGGACGAAGUCACUCAAGUCGAAUAAGCUUAGGUGAUGACGGUACCUUCAGAGAAAGCUCCGGCUAACUCCGUGCCAGCAGCCGCGGUAAUACGGAGGGAGCUAGCGUUGCCCGGAAUUACUGGGCGUAAAGGGGAUGUAGGCGGGCCCAUAAGUCGGAUGUGAAAUCUGUGAGCUCAACUCACAGACUGUGUCCGAGACUAUGGGUCUUGAGCACGGGAGAGGAGAGUGGAACUCCCAGUGUAGCGGUGGAAUGCGUAGAUAUUGGGAGGAACACCAGUGGCGAAGGCGGCUCUCUGGCCCGUUGCUGACGCUGAGGUCCGAAAGCUGGGGGAGCGAACAGGAUUAGAUACCCUGGUAGUCCCAGCCCUAAACGAUGG
rnacentral:rRNA from 1 species